AUUAGAUACCCGCGUAGUCCUAGCCCUUUUUAAGACUCGCUAGGUGUCGGCCACGGUGCGACCGUUGUCGGUGCCGUAGGGAAGCCGUGAAGCGAGCCACCUGGGAAGUACGGCCGCAAGGCUGAAACUUAAAGGAAUUGGCGGGGGAGCACCACAACGGGUGGAGCUUGCGGUUUAAUUGGAUUCAACGCCGGAAAUCUUACCGGGACCGACAGCAAUAUGAAGGCCAGGCUGAAGACUUUGCCGGAUUAGCUGAGAGGUGGUGCAUGGC
rnacentral:rRNA from 1 species